GGAGCCAGUUUUAUCCAAAGAGCAGCCGGCAUUUCAGUACAGCAGCCACGUCUCCCUGCAGGCGUCCAGCGGUCACAUGUGGGGCACUUUUCGAUUUGAGAGGCCCGAUGGCUCCCACUUUGAUGUCCGAAUCCCACCCUUUUCUCUGGAAAGCAACAAAGACGAGAAGACCCCCCCCUCCGGCCUUCACUGGUAGAGCAGACCGAGUGCCGAGACCCACAGAGACCUGUGUGUGGUGUAGACCUUUGCCUCCCCAUUACGCUGCAGCCAACAACACGGAGCUUUUAAACAUUUUAAACCAUUUUUGUUUUAACUGUUCUCUAACGGGGAGGCUUUUUGGAACUUUAAUACUGGCUCUCUCAGGCUGCUUGUAAACGUAAGCUGUGUUCCAGUUAACCCUUUCCUCUGUGGCACCUGCUGGGGUUGGAGCUGGGGGACGUAGAUCAGUGCUGCAGCAGAAGAUGCCCCCUCGGCAGGCCUGGACCCUUUCCACUGUGUUGUGAAUUCUCUGCGAUGUGAGGUUUCUCUAAUAAACUGGCCCUUCCAGUUGCAA